CACCCUUUUGUCUUUAUUUCAUAAAGAAAAGUAAAAAGUGAAUUAUGAAAACACCUCCAUUUUUUAUUUUAUUUUACCUUUAUUUUACUAGGCAAGUCAGUUAAGAAGAAAUUAUUAUUUUCAAUGACGGCCUAGGAACAGUGGGUUAACUGCCUCUCCCUGACCUCUCUUAGCCUGGAUGCCUGACUUGAUUUGGUGAAGGCUAGGGGGUAAGGGUUAUGGGGGUAGAGGCUAGGGGGUAAGGGCUAGGGGGUAGAGGCUAGGGGGCAAGGGCUAGGGAGUAAGGGGUAGAGGCUAGGCGGUAAGGGCUAGGGAGUAAGGGGGUAAGGGUUAGGGAGUAAGGGGGUAUGGGUUAGGGAGUAAGUGGCUAAGGGCUAGGGAGUAAGGGGGUAAGGGCUAGGGAGUAAGGGGGUACAUGCUAGGGGGUAAGGGCUUGGGGGUAGAGGCUAGAGUGUAAGUGGGUAAAGACUAGGGGGUAAGGGCUAGGGGGUAAGGGCAAGGCGUAGAGACUAGGGGGUAAAGGGGUAGAGGCUAGGGGGUAAAGGGGUAGAGGCUAGGGGGUAAAGUGGUAGAGGCUAGGGAGUAAAGGGGUAGAGGCUAGGGGGUAAAGGGGUAGAGGCUAGGGAGUAAAGGGGUAGAGGCUAGGGAGUAAAGGGGUAGAGGCUAGUUAGAGAUUAGGGAGUAAAGGGGUAGAGGCUAGGGAGUAAAGGGGUAGAGGCUAGGGGGUAGAGGCUAGGGAGGAAAGUGGUAGAGGCUAGGGGGUAAGGGCUAGGGAGUAUGGGCUAGGGGGUAAGGGCUAGGGGGUAGAGGCUAGGGAGUAAGUGGGUAAAGGCUAGGGGGUAAGGGCUAGGGAGUAAAGGGGUAGAGGCUAGGGAGUAAAGGGGUAGAGGCUAGGGAGUAAAGGGGUAGAGGCUAGGGGGUAAGGGCUAGGGGGUAGAGGCUAGGGAGUAAGUGGGUAAAGACUAGGGGUAGAGGCUAGGGAGUAAGUGGGUAGAGACUAGGGGGUAAGGGCUAGGGAGUAUGGGCUAGGGGGUAAGGGCUAGGGGGUAGAGGCCAGGGAGUGAAGGGGUAGAGACUAGGGAGUAAAGGGGUAGAGGCUAGGGGGUAAAGGGGUAGAGGCUAGGGAGUAAAGGGGUAGAGGCUAGGGAGUAAAGGGGUAGAGGCUAGUUAAAGAUUAGGGAGUAAAGGGGUAGAGGCUAGUUAGAGAUUAGGGAGUAAAGGGGUAGAGGCUAGGGGGUAGAGGCUAGGGAGGAAAGUGGUAGAGGUUAGGGGGUAGAGGCUAUUGAGUAAAGGGGUAGAGGCUAGGGAGUAAAGGGGUAGAGGCUAGUUAGAGGCUAGGGAGUAAAGGGGUAGAGGCUAGUUAGAGGCUAGGGAGUAAAGGGGUAGAGGCUAGGGAGUAAAGGGGUAGAGGCUAGGGAGUAAAGGGGUAGAGGCUAGUUAGAGAUUAGGGAGUAAAGGGGUAGAGGCUAGGGAGUAAAGGGGUAGAGGUAAAGGGGUAGAGGCUAGGGAGUAAAGGGGUAGAGGCUAGUUAGAGAUUAGGGAGUAAAGGGGUAGAGGCUAGGGAGUAAAGGGGUAGAGGCUAGGGGGUAGAGGCUAGGGAGGAAAGUGGUAGAGGCUAGGGGUAAGGGCUAGGGAGUAUGGGCUAGGGGGUAAGGGCUAGGGGGUAGAGGCUAGGGAGUAAGUGGGUAAAGGCUAGGGGGUAAGGGCUAGGGAGUAAAGGGGUAGAGGCUAGGGAGUAAAGGGGUAGAGGCUAGGGAGUAAAGGGGUAGAGGCUAGUUAAAGAUUAGGGAGUAAAGGGGUAGAGGCUAGGGAGUAAAGGGGUAGAGGCUAGGGAGGAAAGUAGAGGCUAGGGGGUAGAGGCUAGGGAGGGGGUAGAGGAGGCUAUUGAGUAAAGGGGUAGAG
ensembl:lncRNA